GAUGAACGCUAGCUACAGGCUUAACACAUGCAAGUCGAGGGGCAGCAUGGGCUUAGCUUGCUAAGCCCGAUGGCGACCGGCGCACGGGUGAGUAACACGUAUCCAACCUUCCGGUAACUCCGGUAUAGCCUUUCGAAAGAAAGAUUAAUCCCGGAUAGUAUGGUGAUUCCGCAUGGUUUCUCCAUUAAAGGAUUCCGGUUACCGAUGGGGAUGCGUUCCAUUAGGCAGUUGGCGGGGUAACGGCCCACCUAGCCGACGAUCAGUAGGGGUUCUGAGAGGAAGGUCCCCCACACUGGAACUGAGACACGGUCCAG
rnacentral:rRNA from 1 species